rnacentral:rRNA from 1 species
AGAGUUUGAUCAUGGCUCAGGACGAACGCUGGCGGCGCGCCUAACACAUGCAAGUCGAACGAGAGAGAAGGAGCUUGCUUCUUCGAUCGAGUGGCGAACGGGUGAGUAACGCGUGAGGAACCUGCCUCAAANAGGGGGACAACAGUUGGAAACGACUGCUAAUACCGCAUAAGCCCACGGGUCGGCAUCGAUCUGAGGGAAAAGGAGCAAUCCGCUUUGAGAUGGCCUCGCGUCCGAUUAGCUAGUUGGUGAGGUAACGGCCCACCAAGGCGACGAUCGGUAGCCGGACUGAGAGGUUGAACGGCCACAUUGGGACUGAGACACGGCCCAGACUCCUACGGGAGGCAGUA